UACAGGACGAUCCCAAGCGUUGUUCGGAUUCACUGGGCGUAAAGGGUGCGUAGGUGGCUACUUUAAGUUUGAUGUGAAAGCUCCGGGCUCAACCCGGAAAUGGCAUUGAAGACUAUUGAGCUAGAGGUUUGGAGGGGGGACUGGAAUGCUUGGUGUAGCAGUGAAAUGCGUAGAUAUCAAGCGGAACACCGGUGGCGAAGGCGAGUCCCUGGACAACACCUGACACUGAGGCACGAAAGCUAGGGGAGCAAACAGG
rnacentral:rRNA from 1 species